GCGAGAAGACGUAGCAAUACGUUUGUAAAGCGGCGAACGGGUGAGGAAUACAUGGGUAACCUACCCUCGAGUGGGGAAUAACUAACCGAAAGGUUAGCUAAUACCGCAUACGACUCCUGGUCUGCGGAUCGGGAGAGAAAGCGAUGCCGUGGGUAUCGCGCUCUUGGAUGGGCUCAUGUCCUAUCAGCUAGUUGGUGAGGUAAUGGCUCACCAAGGCUUCGACGGGUAGCUGGUCUGAGAGGACGAUCAGCCACACUGGCACUGCGACACGGGCCAGACUCCUACGGGAGGCAGCAGUAAGGAAUAUUGCGCAAUGGGCGAAAGCCUGACGCAGCGACGCCGCGUGGGGGAUGAAGGUCUUCGGAUUGUAAACCCCUUUCGGCAGGGAAGAUGGAGCGGGCAACCGCUCGGACGGUACCUGCAGAAGCAGCCACGGCUAACUUCGUGCCAGCAGCCGCGGUAAUACGAAGGUGGCAAGCGUUGUUCGGAUUUACUGGGCGUACAGGGAGCGUAGGCGGUUGGGUAAGCCCUUCGUGAAAUCUCCGGGCCUAACCCGGAAAGUGCGGGGGGGACUGCUUAGCUAGAGGAUGGGAGAGGAGCGCGGAAUUCCCGGUGUAGCGGUGAAAUGCGUAGAGAUCGGGGGGAAGGCCGGUGGCGAAGGCGGCGCUCUGGAACAUUUCUGACGCUGAGGCUCGAAAGCGUGGGGAGCAAACAGGAUUAGAUACCCUGGUAGUCCACGCCUUAAACGAUGAAUACUAAGUGUCGGCGGGUUACCGCCGGUGCCGCAGCUAACGCAGUAAG
rnacentral:rRNA from 1 species